UACGUAGGGACCAAGCGUUGUCCGGAAUCAUUGGGCGUAAAGCGCGCGUAGGCGGCCCGGUAAGUCCGUUGUAAAAGUCGAAGGCUCAACCUUCGAAAGCCGAUGGAUACUGCCGGGCUAGAGUACGGAAGAGGCGAGUAGAAUUCCUGGUGUAGCGGUGGAAUGCGCAGAUAUCAGGAGGAACACCGAUGGCGAAGGCAGGUCUCUGGGCCACUACUGACGCUGAGAAGCGAAAGCAUGGGGAGCGAACAGG
rnacentral:rRNA from 1 species